rnacentral:rRNA from 1 species
UACGGAGGGUGCAAGCGUUAUCCGGAUUCACUGGGUUUAAAGGGUGCGUAGGUGGGCAGGUAAGUCAGUGGUGAAAUCUCCGGGCUUAACCCGGAAACUGCCGUUGAUACUAUCUGUCUUGAAUGUAGUGGAGGUGAGCGGAAUAUGUCAUGUAGCGGUGAAAUGCUUAGAUAUGACAUAGAACAUCGAUUGCGAAGGCAGCUUACUACACGAUCAUUGACGCUGAGGCACGAAAGCGUGGGGAGCAAACAGG